rnacentral:lncRNA from 1 species
UGCUUCUUACUGAAAGCUUCUCUGAUCCUCAGCCAGAAGUGCUUCUUCCCUCCUGCAGUACCUGGGACAGACCCCCCAGUGAGGAUGGGGGAGACCCCUCCCUCCUGGGGGAUGGGCCCGGGGCUUGAGGUGGGAGAGGAGCGGCCUGGGUUGGCGAGACCCUUCCUUCUCUGGGCAGGAGGCCCAGAAAGUCAUGUUAUGGUGGGUCUUGGAGGGUAGGAGCUUUCCAUGUGAUCCCAUAGGCAGUGGGGGGACGGCAGUGACAGGCGGUGAGGAUGGACAGAAGCCGAGGGCAGGAGGAGAGGAGACAGCUGGAAAUCCCAGAGACGAUGCGGGGUGUGAGCAUGGGAGAGAGAAUGUGGGGCUUCAUAGAGGCGGCUUCUAGAAUUGACUUUUUUGCUGACUGUGGGGUCAGGGCUGAGAGAAGCGUCAAAGGCCCAAUGUCCAGGUGUCCCUAGCCGGAGAGGUGGGGUUCAAAUCAGCCUCCUUCGGGUCCAUGCAGCGUGGCACCAUGGUGGCUGCCAUGCCCUGGCUGGCUGACCUCAUGCAAGGCACCGCAUUUCCUGACCUAUGCACAGGGCAUAACAAGCGUGCCCACCUUAAGGGGCUUCGUGGGGUCAAACAAAGCAAUGGGUGGAAAGUUCAGGGAACCCCUCAGUGCCCUGGGCUCACACCACCAGUCUCUGAGUCUAUUUCCUUACCUGGAGUAGAUGAGGUUAACGUGCCUGCCUUGCAGGCCCAGGUAUGGAAAGCAUUCAGCACAUUUGGGGUAAGAGUUCGAAAGCCUAGUAACUAGGGGGCUUACCCCUUAAGCCCAUGGGAACUGCUGUGGGAUCCCCGUGGUCAGCCUGGGGUUGACAUCUGGGGUGUUGCAGGGGCGCCCCCUGAGGGGCUGUGCACUGUCAGCCAGGGAGGGCCUGCCAAGUUAUGAUGUCCUGCCCUCAGAGACAUGGGUAGGGAGGAGGCUAGGAGGGGAGGGACCCCGCCCCUAGCAGCCUCCGGAGACUGAACACAGGCCCAGGUGCCCACCCAGCAGAGAGCUGCCCCCAGCUUCCAGCCCUGGGUCCAGCAGGAUGCAGAAGCAGCCCCUGCCCACUGGAUGGGGGGCAGGUGGUAGGGGUGCCCAGGUGCCCCUGUGCCCUUCUGCCAGCCAGGCCUGGAGGCCCCAGGAGUAACGAGAUAAUCACAGCAAUUGCAGCGAGAUAGGACUGUCUGCUUGUGGAGCACUGAGAUGCUGGAGCAGGCGGGGGGCCGGGAGAGUGGCAGGAAGCUUCCUCAGGCAGAGUCGCUCGUCCCACCAGCCGGGGUGCCAGGACUCUCAUCCUGGAACCCUGCACUCCCACCCAGCCCUAGUCUUGGUGUCCAGGAAGGGCUCUGAGGCCUUUUGCUCAAAUGAGCCCAUCAUCUAAUGAGGGAGAGGAGUGUGGGUGGGGAGCUCUGCGGGCUGCCUGGAACUGACUGUUUAGAGUUCAGGUUAUCUUUGUUUACCACUGAGAAAACAUAAAGCUGAACACAGGUAUUAACUGUGCCCACCUGCUCCUGCCAUUGAUUCGCUCAUCCAGAGUUGCAGCCCAUGGCACCAGCAAUAAAGGAAAUUGCUUUUGAAGUUGACAGAGGCUGGGAAUGAAGCUCCAAGACCGACUGGCCCGUCUCUUCCAGGUGGCAGCUGGGUCCCUCCCCACCCACCUGUCCCCCAAAGCCAAAGACACGUAGUUGUCACCAGGGAGCUGGGAAGCAGCCUCCAAUCCUGACGUGUGUUUUUUUCCAAGAGACCCUCUGCUGCCCAGGAUUAUAGGCUCACACCUAUAAUCCCAGUACUUUGGGAGAUCGAGGCAGGAGGAUCAUUCGAGCCCAGGAAUUCAAGGCCAGCCUGGGCAACACAGGGAGGCCCCCAUCUCUACAAAAAAAUAAAAAAUUAGCCGGGCAUGGUGACAUGCAUCUGUGGUCCCAGCUACUCGGGAGACUGAGGUGGGGGGAUCGCUUGAGCCCAGGUCCAGGCUGCAGUGAGCUGAGAUUGCACCACUGAACUACAGCCUGGAUGACAGAGCAAGACCCUGUCCCCAAAAUAAAAAUAAAACAAAAGACCUUGUGCCUAUGUCUCCCAGCCCAACACGGGGCCAUCUGCCAGGGCUGCAGCAUGAGGGCAUGAGGAGAGAUGCUAAGCAGGACUUCCUGAGGACCAGCAUCUGCAGCAUGAGGCAGGGUGUACACUCUCUUCCCGACAGUUCUCUGGGAAAGCAGUGUCAGGCCUGGGGAAUCAGAACUGGACAAGAGGCCUUCCUGCCCCAGGCACGUGCUCAUCUGCAAGCCUUCCAAUGACCUAAGUAGGGGAACCUGCUAAGAUGUUCCUCCACCAAGGGGCUUCUCUGCUUUCAGCACCCAGACUCCCACUUCCCCAGGUCGAAGGACCUCAGAGAGGCAGAUCAUUACCCCAAUGCCUCCCAGCUCCGUCUCCCACACCCUUGCCCUCGUCACACCGGGCCACAGCGUCCCUGUGCCUGCAGACUCUUUCCCUACUGGGAAGCCAGGGUCCUCGCCUGGGUUCUCCUUCUUCAAGGUUGGUGUAGUGGAGUGAAUGGUGUCCUCCAAAAGAUACAUACACAUCUGGAUCCCCAGAACCUGUGAAUGGGACCUUAUUUGGAAAAAGGGCCUUUUGCAGAUGUAAUUAAAUUAAGGAUUUUGAGAUGAGGAGGUCAUCCUGGAUUAUCAGGUGGUUCCUAAGUGCGAUGACAAGUGUCCUUAUAAGAGACACACGGGGAGAUGGACACAGCAGAGCAGGAGACAAGGUGAUGGUGCAGACAGAGCCUGGAGUGACGCGUCUACCAGGAGCGCCAGGGACUGCCAUAGCUCCCACCAGCCAGGAGAGACCCCUGGAACAGACACACUCAGCAGGUGGGGAAGGCCCUGCCCCUGCCUCGAUUUUGAACUUCUGGCUUCCAGAACUGUGAGAACCAAUUUCUGUUGUUUGAAGCCCCUCAUUGUGGUCACGUGUCAUAGCAGCUUCAGGAAACAAAUGUAGCUGGUGUUCUGGGAUGUCACCCACACCCCCAACGUCCACGACAGCCAUAAACUGUUGAUGGCAAGUCUGUCCCUCCAGGAUGGUGUCCAUCCAAAUUUCAGAUCUCUAUUCCCAGUGGCGCCGUGGGCAGUGUGGUAUAAUAUGAAAAAUAUCUGGUCUUUGUUCCUGGGUCCUGGCACAGAGUUCCCAAACCCUUGGAAUUUUCUGAGUGAUGGAAGCCUCUUUUGUUAUUGAUAAGAAGCCCUUUCCAUACCACUUGAGUUUCUGCUAAUGAGGUGACUUAUGGUCAAAGGCAGUUCUGCACUCCUACCGAUGCUCCCUUUAAGUACAUGCAAAUUAAGGGGCAGAUUAUGCAGACAUUUCUAGAAAAGGGGUGGUAACUUCCAGGUCAUCAGGUCAUUGCCAUGGGAAGGGGUGGUAACUUGGGGAUCUUGCCAUGAAAGGGGUGGUAACUUCCGGUUGUUGC